UACAGGGGGUGCAACCGUUGCUCGGAAUCAUUGGGCGUAAAGCGCACGUAGGCGGCUUUGCAAGUCGGAUGUGAAAUCCCUCGGCUUAACCAAGGAAGUGCAUCCGAAACUGCAGAGCUUGAGUACUUAAGAGGAUCGCGGAAUUCCCGGUGUAGAGGUGAAAUUCGUAGAUAUCGGGAGGAACACCAGUGGCGAAGGCGGCGAUCUGGGAAGAUACUGACGCUGAGGUGCGAAAGCGUGGGGAGCAAACAGG
rnacentral:rRNA from 1 species